ACAUGCUUUGCUAAUAUAUAUAUAUAUGUGUGUGUGUGUGUGUGUGUGUGUAUAUAUACACACACACACAUGCAUAUAUACAUAUAUACAAUAUAAUUUAC
rnacentral:miRNA from 11 species